GACGAACGCUGGCGGCGUGCCUAACACAUGCAAGUCGAACGGGGUGAUUCCUUCGGGGAUCACUUAGUGGCGAACGGGUGAGUAACGCGUGAGAAACCUGCCUUUCAGUGGGGGACAACAGUUGGAAACGACUGCUAAUACCGCAUAAUGUUAUCGAGCGGCAUCGCUUGAUAACCAAAGCUUUAUGUGCUGAAAGAUGGUCUCGCGUCUGAUUAGCUAGUUGGUGAGGUAACGGCUCACCAAGGCGACGAUCAGUAGCCGGUCUGAGAGGAUGAACGGCCACAUUGGGACUGAGAUACGGCCCAGACUCCUACGGGAGGCAGCAGUGGGGAAUAUUGGGCAAUGGGGGAAACCCUGACCCAGCAACGCCGCGUGAAGGAAGAAGGCCUCGGUUGUAAACGUUCUUUUACCUAGGGACGAACACAAUAGACGGUACCUGGAGAAAAAGACAACGGCUAACUAACGUG
rnacentral:rRNA from 1 species